AACGAACGCUGGCGGCAUGCCUAACACAUGCAAGUCGAGCGAGACCUUCGGGUCUAGUGGCGCACGGGUGCGUAACGCGUGGGAACCUGCCCUUAGGUUCGGAAUAACUCCCCGAAAGGGGUGCUAAUACCGGAUAAUGUCUUCGGACCAAAGAUUUAUCGCCUUUGGAUGGGCCCGCGUUGGAUUAGCUAGUUGGUAGGGUAAAAGCCUACCAAGGCGACGAUCCAUAGCUGGUCUGAGAGGAUGAUCAGCCACACUGGGACUGAGACACGGCCCAGACUCCUACGGGAGGCAGCAGUGGGAAUAUUGGACAAUGGGCGAAAGCCUGAUCCAGCAAUGCCGCGUGAGUGAUGAAGGCCUUAGGGUUGUAAAGCUCUUUUACCCGGGAUGAUAAUGACAGUACCGGGAGAAUAAGCUCCGGCUAACUCCGUG
rnacentral:rRNA from 1 species